GGGUCAGUAGGUUGGUCGUGCCACCGGUACGUACUGGUCUCACUGAUUCCUCCUUCCUGAAGAACCGUAAUGCCAUUAAUUUGGUGUUGCGGGGAAACAGGACAGUUACUUUGAAAAAAUUAGAGUGUUUAAAGCAAGCUAACGCUUGAAUACAUUAGCAUGGGAUAAUGAAAUAGGACGAUCGAUCCUAUUUUGUUGGUUUCUAGGAUUGACGUA
rnacentral:rRNA from 1 species